GCCGUCAAAGAACGAUGAGAGAACGAUGUCUUCAACGCGUCCAAUAGAUUGAUCACUAUGCUGAUGAACUGUUUUCGAAAGAAAUGAUUUAAAUAAUGAUUAAAUAACAUCGUGAAAUAAUAUCGAGGAAAGAGUAAAUAAGUCGAAACGUCAAUCAGAGAGAAAAAAAAAGGAGAGCAAAAUUGUUCAUGUACAAUGUAUGUGUACGAUCACGUACUAACCUCGGAAGCGUUUUUAGCCAUAACAGCAACCUGAUCGGGGUCUCUGCCCUGUCCUAGAAACGCGCCCAGCACCGCAGUCAAAAUGCCCUAAACAACCGACACCAGCCAUGUGCUCUAAGUUGACGUCCUCUGAUGAUGAUUAUUUACAAGAAGAAGAGUCGAGUCUGUGUAAACUUUUUUACACCCAAGCGACAGAUCUUGUCAAGGAGAGUAUCGUUUUUUCUUUUUUUUUCUUUUUUUUUUUUAAUUAAUUGUACAAAAUCACAACGGCAUACGAUCGAUUGAUUUGAUUCGAAUUCGUAGUAUGUAUAUAUAUAUAUAUUAAAUUGAGAGGGAAUUUCGCGGUUUAGAAAACGUGAAGAUCGUUAACGUGAUCAGUGUUCCCUUAAUUGAUUAAGGGGACAAUAGAGCUCGUUAACAGGAGUAACGAUUCGUACGCUCGUUGUGAUUUCUAUCUAAAAAAUAAUUUUGUAAUAACAAAAGAGAAAGAGAGAGAAAAAAAAGGUAGAAACAUAUAUAUAUAUAUGUAUGUAUAAAGCGACGAUAUUAUUUUACAAUACGUGCACGAAACGUCGCGUCUUUCCAACGAAAGAGAAAGAGAGACAAACUAGCGAUCAUUCCUUCUCGAAAUUCUAUUAUUGUGUAUUUAAAAGAAGGAAGAGACAAACUCUCUGUGUUUUGCUCCGCGUCAUGCUCAGCGAUGUAUAGUCUACAGCAUGUAUAUAUGCGUUAUUCUAAUUAGCUAUCCAAAUGUACAGCAAAUGUCGUGUAUAUGUAUAUGUGUGUGUGUGUAUAUGUGUGUGUGUCUGGAUAAAUAUUCUAAGGAACGAUUCCAUGGUAAAAAGAAAAUUAUAAACGGAAAAUGAUUGUAUAUAAAUGAUUAUAUAUACGCUUGUUAUGUAUAAUACCAUGGAAUAAUUCAAUUGUAUUCUACUGUUUGUAGUAUGUUUGACCUAAAUCGCAAUACAGUCAGUUCGGCUCAUGCUUGCUUUCAUUUAUGCGACCCGGAUCAAGAUGAAAGUCUCGGAAACUCUUGUCUUGUUCCUGUUGUGCGGGACCGUUUCGAGUAAUCAUCAAGAUUGCUUUCUAAUUCGUGUUUCUUAAUUUGGGAAAUAUUCAGGUUCAGCUGAUCGGUAUUUAUCAAUAGAGGUAUCGUUACCUAAAAUGUAUAUAUUUGAUUCGCAGAUAAAUCGGUGUUGAAGCGGAAAUGACCGUAAUUAAGAAGGGAGAAACAAGGUGUUUUGGAUACCACAAUGUUUGUUGAUACCGCACAUACCUGCAUGGGACUGCUUUGGUUAUCAACCUUGUCGAUACCGUCCACGGAUUGUUGGGGACCUCCUAGAAGAGCGGUGAGCACCCUCAGCCCCACCGACAGCAAAUUUGCCCAGGGGCUGGCAGGUGCCCCGUCGUCGAUCUCGUUCUUGCUUGGACCUGUCACUCCUCCUGUUUGACCCAGGAUCAUCUGCAUCAGCAUGCUCAACAUGUUCGACCAUGAGAACCCGGUACUGCUACCUUCCUGAUGAGGCAGAAGAGGAUUCGUCAAGAAUUUAUGAAGAUGAAGACUUUGAGGAGAUGAAACGAGAAGGAGGGAAUAAUUAAAUAUAAAUUAAAUUGUAGAAAUAUUGUAGAAAUUUAAUGUAACGAUAAUUUACUUGAAUCUGAUUGGUACUAAUGUCAUCUAGGUCAUCGAGGGCGACCUUCUUCAUUGCAUUCGGCUUUUCUGCGAAUUUCCUCUCGUCUCUGACCUGCUGUUGGAACUGUUGCGGAUACUGAGUAUGCUGUGGCAGCGUGGCUGCUUGUCCAAGAACAAGCGCCAUCAAGCAUAGCGAUAUGCAUUGGCUAUGAUUCAUUCUGGAAAAAAAGGAAAAGAGAGAAAUUGAGAGAAUUAUUCGUCGAUCGAGGAUCAAAAUAUUAAUGAAUCGAGAAAGAAAGGGAAUGACACCAAUGGCUUUUUUCGUCAUUUUGAAUGAUUCAAAAAAGAGAAAGUAAGAGAGUAUCUGACGAAGAUUCCAAAUCCACUGUUUCGAAACACGUAUCCCACAUACAACUUAUUAUUAAACAUAUUUUAUCUUUUCCAUUAAUUUCUUUUCUUUCUUUUAAACAACUAUAUAUUUUAAUUUAAUUACAAUCGAUUAUAAAUACAAGAUUGAAAUUUUUAAAAAAACCGAAAUAUUUGCAAAGUAACGUUAAUUUAAUAUUCCACGUCGAAUGCGCGCAAUCUCGAAUGUACAAUAUUUUUUUCCAUUAUUUUUCCAAAAAAAGAAAAAGAAAGAGGGAGAGAAAGGGAAGAUCAAUCUUCUUCGAGAAGAUUGCAUCGGUAACCUUGAUCCCAGUGGAGAAGCGAUAAAAAAAACGAGUGAUCAUGCGAGUAUAAGCAAAGAAAGAACAUCGAGCGGUAAGAAAGUGUGUCAGAGCGGUUAAGGUCAUCCUGGUAGCACCAGGUAGCCCACUUCUCGAUCGAAGCUACCGGUUUGUUGAACUCGAGGGAUACCGUUAUCUGAAAACGCGGUCGCGACCUACUGUCGUGUUCAAUCUCUCAGACUGCAGUCACCGACCUCCUAAACGAAAGACAAACAAAUAAUACGAGAGGAAAAGGAAAAAGAAAAAUGGAAGAAAAAAAGAAAAAGAAAGAAAAGAAUCGAAGAAAUCAUCGAGAUAGUGAAAAUUUAAUCUAAGUUAUAGUUAUUUUGUUUAAAAAUAAUAAAAUUUUCGACGGAUGGAAUUUUUGAUAAAUGUUCGAAAGAAUUGAAGAAAAGAGUAAAAGAAUUAAAAGAAUAAUUGAUACGUUUUAAAUUUAUACAACUUUGUUAUUUAUAAGAAAAAAAUUUUUAAAAAAUUGUCGUUUAAUUUACUUUAGAUUUAAUUUGCUACCUUUAAUUUACUUUAGAUUUAUUAGUAAGAGAAAAAUUGUAUAAGUAUAUACGAAUAAAUAAUAAAAAUUAAAAAAUA